AUAUGGACAAUUAAUGCUUCAUUCAAAUCACCUUAUUGAUGGGGAACAGAAAACUGAAAAGAAUUCAUCAACACAUGCCCACCCUGGAACAGCAGACACUGACCCUUUCGGAGGUGCCUUGCAUCUCUUGAAACUCUGCCCCUGGACUAGUGGGGCCCAACGCAAGGAUGUGGGAGGAAGUGAACAGGAAUCCAGUACCUUGCAAAAUGCACACUAAGGAUAUAACUGCUGGGUCUGUCCACCACAAAAUCAGAAAUCUUCACCAUCAACGGUAGACCCAACGGACAGAUCCAAACUUGAAUCUAGGCUUUGUGAUUCCCAAAGCAGAUCUCUUUCCUUUGUCCCAAUACCAGAGCUCAGUGGCUUCAGAUCUCACAGGCACAAGCACAUCAGGCAUGAUAUUUUC